rnacentral:rRNA from 1 species
GACGAACGCUGGCGGCGUGCUUAACACAUGCAAGUCGAACGGAAAGGCCCUGCUUUUGUGGGGUGCUCGAGUGGCGAACGGGUGAGUAACACGUGAGUAACCUGCCCUUGACUUUGGGAUAACUUCAGGAAACUGGGGCUAAUACCGGAUAGGAGCUCCUGCUGCAUGGUGGGGGUUGGAAAGUUUCGGCGGUUGGGGAUGGACUCGCGGCUUAUCAGCUUGUUGGUGGGGUAGUGGCUUACCAAGGCUUUGACGGGUAGCCGGCCUGGGAGGGUGACCGGCCACGUUGGGACUGAGAUACGGCCCAGACUCCUACGGGAGGCAGCAGUGGAGAAUAUUGCACAAUGGGCGGAAGCCUGAUGCAGCAACGCCGCGUGCGGGAUGACGGCCUUCGGGUUGUGAACCGCUUUCGCCUGUGACGAAACGUGAGUGACGGUAAUGGGUGAAGAAGCACCGGCUAACUACGUG